rnacentral:rRNA from 1 species
GCUACACAUGCAGUCGAGCGGAGCGAGGGUGCUUGCACCUUAGCUUAGCGGCGGACGGGUGAGUAAUGCUUAGGAAUCUGCCUAUNAGUGGGGGACAACAUUCCGAAAGGAAUGCUAAUACCGCANACGCCCUACGGGGGAAAGCAGGGGAUCUUCGGACCUUGCGCUAAUAGAUGAGCCUAAGUCGGAUUAGCUAGUUGGUGGGGUAAAGGCCUACCAAGGCGACGAUCUGUAGCGGGUCUGAGAGGAUGAUCCGCCACACUGGGACUGAGACACGGCCCAGACUCCUACGGGAGGCAGCAGUGGGGAAUAUUGGACAAUGGGCGCAAGCCUGAUCCAGCCAUGCCGCGUGUGUGAAGAAGGCCUUUUGGUUGUAAAGCACUUUAAGCGAGGAGGAGGCUACUUAGAUUAAUACUCUAGGAUAGUGGACGUUACUCGCAGAAUAAGCACCGGCUAACUCUGUGCCAGCAGCCGCGGUAAUACAGAGGGUGCGAGCGUUAAUCGGAUUUACUGGGCGUAAAGCGUGCGUAGGCGGCUUUUUAAGUCGGAUGUGAAAUCCCUGAGCUUAACUUAGGAAUUGCAUUCGAUACUGGAAAGCUAGAGUAUGGGAGAGGAUGGUAGAAUUCCAGGUGUAGCGGUGAAAUGCGUAGAGAUCUGGAGGAAUACCGAUGGCGAAGGCAGCCAUCUGGCCUAAUACUGACGCUGAGGUACGAAAGCAUGGGGAGCAAACAGGAUUAGAUACCCUGGUAGUCCAUGCCGUAAACGAUGUCUACUAGCCGUUGGGGCCUUUGAGGCUUUAGUGGCGCAGCUAACGCGAUAAGUAGACCGCCUGGGGAGUACGGUCGCAAGACUAAAACUCAAAUGAAUUGACGGGGGCCCGCACAAGCGGUGGAGCAUGUGGUUUAAUUCGAUGCAACGCGAAGAACCUUACCUGGCCUUGACAUACUAAGAACUUUCCGGAAAUGGAUUGGUGCCUUCGGGAACUUAGAUACAGGUGCUGCAUGGCUGUCGUCAGCUCGUGUCCUGNNAAUUUUGGGUUAAGUCCCGCAACGAGGGCAACCCUUUUCCUUAUUUGCCAGCGGGUCAGGCCGGGAACUUUAAGGAUACUGCCAGUGACAAACUGGAGGAAGGCGGGAACAACUUCAAGUCAUCAGGGCCCUUACGGCCAGGGCUACCACCUUGCUACAAUGGUNCGGUACAAAGGGUUG